rnacentral:rRNA from 1 species
CCUACGGGGAGCAGCAGUGAGGACUAUUGGUCAAUGGACGCAAGUCUGAACCAGCCAUGCCGCGUGCAGGAAGACGGCUCUAUGAGUUGUACACUGCUUUUGUACGGGGGUAAACGCAGAUACGCGUAUCUGUCUGAAAGUAGCGUACGAAUAAGGAUCGGCUAACUCCGUGCCAGCAGCCGCGGUAAUACGGAGGAUUCAAGCGUUAUCCGGAUUUAUUGGGUUUAACGGGUUCGUAGGCGGUCGGAUAAGUUAGAGGUGAAAUCCCGAGGCUCAACUUCGGAAUUGCCUCUGAUACUGUUCGGCUAGAGAGUAGUUGCGGUAGGCGGAAUGUAUGGUGUAGCGGUGAAAUGCUUAGAGAUCAUACAGAACACCGAUUGCGAAGGCAGCUUACCAAGCUACUUCUGACGUUGAGGCACGAAAGCGUGGGGAGCAAACAGGAUUAGAUACCCCAGUAGUC